rnacentral:lncRNA from 1 species
GUCAUAUUGGUGCAGCAAACCUAAGUUGCACCUAAAUCAUAUGCACGUAUAUAGCAUCUAUAAAGGCUACCGGAUUUUGUAUACAUAGAAAGGAAAGGGAACCAUGUCCAAAUGGUGGACGGGCUUGAUUUAGUAGUCCCAUCGCUUUGGUUAGCAACUAGAAGUUUCGGAUUCAAUUCUUGAAUGCAGGAUAAGCCUCUCUGCCGCUCUCAAAUACGUGAGUUGCGUCUAAUGUGAUAAGGAUGACGAUUGAGCCUGGAUAAUUCAAAAUAUUCCACCAAGCGAUGAAGAUAGCAUCAAGGUUCCCAAUAAAAAUAUUCCCAUCAUAUCAUGAAAUGUAUUUCUAAAAACAAAUUGUUCAUAUGUAAUUUAAAAGCCACAUCAGCAGAUAUAGUUCAAGUCAUCUUGUUCGAUAUAGAAAUGUUGUAAAUAAUCAUAUACUAAUAUGUUCCUUAAUGCCACAUAGUAAUUUGCCAAGCCUAGGCCAGCCCAUCGUAAAGCUUGGCCCAGUCUACCCUUACAAAAAAAUAUUGGUUCAAGGCCCAUGAAUGAUGGGGCAAAGCCCACAUGGCAGUUAUGGGCCAUGCAUGAGCUCCCGUGCCCAUCACGGAUCGGUGCUUGAAUGGGCCGGACUCUCCAAUGGAUGACCCACCCGACCCGCAAGCAAUUCUCUUCCUCCGCUCCAAAGACGUAGUAAUCAAUUCCAGCAUCUACAAAAGGUACUUCACUCUCUGCGGACCUUUACGUAGGUAAUUAA